UUAACAUUAGACCUUAUAUUAAAAAAAAAAAAUAAUCAGGCAAUAGAAAUUGAAAGAGGAUUUUAGGGUUUGAAAAAUGUGACCUCUGAGCUUUCAAACAGAUCUUCUUCAUCUUUCAUGAAGAACACACAACGGCGGCCGGAGGCGAGAUUCCACGAUUCACCUCGCCGUAAAUCCCAUAAUUCAACCCUUUCUCAACUCGGAUGAACGGUGUGGCCCAAGCUUCAUCUUUGGAGAACCUCUUCCGACCUUACUCUCCUCUUAUUCUUUUGAACGCGACGGCUUUUCAUCUCGGACAACAUUACGGCGCCGGAUAAGGAUCACUCUAGGACCGGAACCUCGCCUUCUCCGUCUCUUCUCCGUUCGUUCCUCAACCUACUCGCGGUGGCCGGUCUCUCUUUCUCUCACGACCUGCGGCGGCGCUUGGAAUCAAAACACGAGUCAUCAUCUCUAAUUGGAGCUCCCUCGCCAUGGUGACCAAAAAUGGAGCUAUCUUCUCUCUCUGAAUCAAAUUAAGUCUCAGUCUCUUCUCCUCGUCAAUCUCGAUCUUCGAUUGUAAUUCGUUCCCAAAUUGAAGAAGAGCAAGGUUGGUGAUGAUCGAUGGUGAUAUUGAUGAUACGACCUGCUGCAGAUGUAUGGUGUUGAUGAAGAGUGAUGAAGAUUCAGAAGGAGAAUAAGCUUUUUACAGGUCUUGUGAAGAGAAAGAGAUGAAGAGUGAUCGGAGAAAGCUUGAAGAUGCAUUGAGAAGGUUCUGUUGAAGGUUUUCUAGAAAUUGGAUAGGAGAUUGAAGAAUGAAUGGAGAGUGGAUAAUGAAGGUCAAAAUGAUGGAGAAUGGUGAAGGGAGAACAGGAGUGUGGAGAUGGAUGAAGAAUGGUGGAGAGUGAGAAAAUGGUCGUUUUGGAAGAAUGAAGAGAAAUGGUGGAGGAGCUUGAAUGAAGGUGGAGAAGCUUGUUAUAUAGAUCUUCUCAGGUUAGUUCAAUCUCUGACUUUUGUUGAAACUCAGUUAAAUUCUGUUAUAGGAUUUGUUAGGGAUUGUAACUGAUUUUGGAUGUUAGUUAGGGUUGGUUAGAGACUGUUAGUAACAGUUAGGGAUUAUGUUACAAAUCUGUUUUGACAGUUAAAGUUUGGUUAUAUAUUGGUUUUAGGUGGUUAUGAAAGUUAGGUAUGGUUCUGUUACAUUCGGUUCGUGUCGGUUAUAGGCUGGUGAGAGGUUAUAAAAGUUAGUUUCUUUCUUUUCUGUUUGUAACUAAAUGGUUAGUUACUUCUGUUAGUAACUAUAGGUUAGAAUGAAAACAGGGACUAAUUGUGUAAGAGGCAACAAGUGUUUUUCUUCUGAUUUUUCUGAGAUUGGCUUCUGAUACUGGAUUUGCAGGUAUGCCGAUUUAUGAUGUCGAAGGUUAUUCUACCAUUUGUUUUUAAUUGUGAGUCUGUGCACCAAUUGAAAUGUGUAUGGUUGUUGACUUAUUUGAUGUUAUGAGUGCAGGGACAACAUGAAUUUAAAGGGAACACAUGAGAGAUUCAUCAUCCAAUGAAGAUCCUCAAUUCUUUACUAUUCUUAGGGAGCAGUACUUUAAUUUAUUUAUCUUUUAUGUAAUGGAUACUUUUUGUAACAUCUUAUUGCAUUGUAAAUCCCUGUUGAAAA